UUAUUGGGCGUAAAGGGUGCGUAGGCGGUUUAAUAAGUCUCUAGUUUAAUUUCAACGCUUAACGUUGUCCUGCUAGAGAAACUGUUUAACUAGAGUGAGAUAGAGGUAAGCGGAAUUCCAUGUGUAGCGGUAAAAUGUGUAAAUAUAUGGAGGAACACCAGAGGCGUAGGCGGCUUACUGGGUCUUUACUGACGCUGAUGCACGAAAGCGUGGGGAGCAAACAGGAUUAGAUACCCUGGUAGUCCACGCCGUAAACUAUGAGUACUAAGUGUCGGGGUUAAACUCGGUACUGAAGUUAACACAUUAAGUACUCCGCCUGAGUAGUACGUACGCAAGUAUGAAACUUAAAGGAAUUGACGGGAUCCCGCACAAGCGGUGGAUCAUGUUGUUUAAUUCGAAGAUACACGAAAAACCUUACCAGGUCUUGACAUACUCUGCAAAGCUAUAGAAAUAUAGUGGAGGUUAUCAGGGAUACAGGUGGUGCAUGGUUGUCGUCAGCUCGUGUCGUGAGAUGUUAGGUUAAGUUCUAAAACGAGCGCAACCCCUGUCGUUAAUUGCCAGCACGUUAUGGUGGGGACUUUAGCGAGACUGCCAAUGAAAAAUUGGAGGAAGGUGGGGAUUACGUCAAAUCAUCAUGCCCCUUAUGAUCUGGGCUACAAACGUGAUACAAUGGCUAUUACAAAGAGUAGCUGAAACGCGAGUUUUCGGCAAAUCUCAAAAAAAUAGUCUCAGUUCGGAUUGAAGUCUGCAACUCGACUUCAUGAAGUUGGAAUCGCUAGUAAUCGCGAAUCAGCAUGUCGCGGUGAAUACGUUCUCGGGGUUUGUACACACCGCCCGUC
rnacentral:rRNA from 1 species